rnacentral:rRNA from 1 species
UCCGGUUGAUCCUGGCGGAGACUACCGCUAUCGGAGUCCGAUUUAGCCAUGCUAGUCCACCGAUUCGUUCGGGGCAUAUAGCUGAGUAACACGUGGCUAACCUGCCCUGUGGAUGGGAAUAACCUCGCUAACGUGAGGCUAAGACCCAAUACCAGAUGAGAAUGGAGUUUUUUCAUCUGUGAAACGUUCCGACGCCACAGGAUGGGGCCGCGGCUGAUUAGGUUGUUGGUGAGGUAACGGCUCACCAAGCCAAUAAUCAGUAGCAGGGGUGAGAGCCCGAGCUGUCAGUCGGCAUCUGAGACAAGAUGCCGGACCCUACGGGGUGCAGCAGGCACGAAACCUUCACAAUGCACGCAAGUGCGAUGGGGGGACUCCGAGUGCAGUCUUCCAAAACGGAAGGCCGCUUUUCUGCACUGUAAGGAGGUGCCGGAACAAGGGGUGGGCAAGACGGCUGCCAGCCGCCGCGGUAAUAGCCGCACCCCAAGUGGUAGUCAUUGUUAUUGGGCUUAAAGUGUUCGUAGCCGGACGCGUAAGUCCGCUGUGAAAUCCAUGCGCUUAACGUAUGGACAUGCAGCGGAUACUGCGCGUCUAGGAACCGGACGGUGUCGAGGCUAUUCCCGGGGUAGGGGUGAAAUCCUAAAAUCCCGGGAGGAGCACCUGUGGCGGAAGCGCUCGACAAGUACGGAUUCGACGGUGAGGAACGAAAGCCAGUGGAGCAAAGCGGAUUANAUACCCGCGUAGUACUGGCCGUAAACAUUGUGCAUUUGAUGUCGGACANCCUCCGAGGUUGUCCGGNGCCNAANUGAAAACGAUAAAUGCNCCGCCUGG